rnacentral:rRNA from 1 species
GUGUCAGCCGCCGCGGUAAGACGGAGGGCGCAAGCGUUGUUCGGAAUUACUGGGCGUAAAGCGCGGGCAGGCGGUCUGUUAAGUCGUUUGUGAAAAUCCGGAGCUCAACUCCGGAAAUGCGUACGAUACUGGCAGGCUGGAGACCGGUAGAGGCUAGCGGAAUUCCUGGUGUAGCGGUGGAAUGCGUAGAUAUCAGGAAGAACACCUGUGGCGAAGGCGGCUAGCUGGGCCGGGUCUGACGCUCAUCCGCGAAAGCGUGGGGAGCAAACAGGAUUAGAAACCCGCGUAGUCC